rnacentral:rRNA from 1 species
ACGAACGCUGGCGGCGUGCUUAACACAUGCCAGUCGAACGGAAAGGCCCUGCUUUUGUGGGGUGCUCGAGUGGCGAACGGGUGAGUAACACGUGAGUAACCUGCCCUUGACUUUGGGAUAACUUCAGGAAACUGGGGCUAAUACCGGAUAGGAGCUCCUGCUGCAUGGUGGGGGUUGGAAAGUUUCGGCGGUUGGGGAUGGACUCGCGGCUUAUCAACUUGUUGGUGGGGUAGUGGCUUACCAAGGCUUUGACGGGUAGCCGGCCUGAGAGGGUGACCGGCCACAUUGGGACUGAGAUACGGCCCAGACUCCUACGGGAGGCAGCAGUGGGGAAUAUUGCACAAUGGGCGGAAGCCUGAUGCAGCAACGCCGCGUGCGGGAUGACGGCCUUCGGGCUGUAAACCGCUUUCGCCUGUGACGAAGCGUGAGUGACGGUAAUGGGUAAAGAAGCACCGGCUAACUACGUG